rnacentral:rRNA from 1 species
AUGUUGCACUCAAUGGGAAAAGACAUAGAAUCGUUUCCUCUUCCUGAGAUUGACAAACAGCAUGAGAUGACAAAUGACCUGCCUAGGGAAAUCAUCAAGAAGACCUCCAUCGAGGUGGACCCUGAGGACACAUCGUUGCAUAACAUAAAUACAGAGCAAAGGAUGGCCUAUGACGAAAUCCUAGCCACAGUUGACCACCAAAGAGGAGGUAUAUUCUUUGUCGAUGGGCCGGGAGGCAUAGGAAAAACUUUUCUUUAUAGGGCGCUCUUGGCCACAGUACGAGGACAAGGCAAGAUUGAUGUGGCGACAGUCACUUCCAGUGUUGCUGCUUCCAUAAUGCCUGGAGGGAGGACUGCACACUCAAGGUUCAAAAUUCCACUAAAAAUAGAUGAUUGUUCUAUUUGUAGCUUCACAAAACAAAGUGGGGCAGCCAAGCUACUCCAAGCAGCAUCACUAAUAAUCUGGGACGAAGCAUCUAUGACUAAGAGGCAAACAGUGGAGGUGCUAGACAAAAGCCUGAGGGACAUAAUGGACAUGCCAGAUCUUCCUUUUGGUGGAAAAACAGUUGAAUUUGGGGGAGAUUUUAGACAAGUGCUCCCUGUUGUCCGAAAAGGAACAAGGGCCUAG